rnacentral:misc_RNA from 1 species
GAUUGUUGUUUUUGCUGUUGACUAUUUUGUUUUUCCAUAUUUUGUAUUUCCUGGAACACAUGAAUUAAUUUCCAAAUAUAACAUCACCAAAAAGUAGAGGGGAAAAUGAGAACAAUAAUACUAUCUAUCAUGGUCUCACUCUACCCAAUUUCCAAGAUUUGUCCAAAGCCAGGCAAAAGAAUCUUCAUAAAAACACCUAGUCUGUGAGUUUCCAAAGGGUAAUAUACAUAAAAUUGAUUUCAUUGACGAACAACCAUUCUACUAUAACAUCUCACAAGGAAAAAAAAAAUGCUAUCAUC